CUUUGAAACUGGGAAGCCAGACAUUGACUUCUCUCUAGCUAUGGAAGUCCUAGAUGGCAUCUUCUUCCAAAGAAGGCUGUUCUGUCUAUAUUGAAAGGCUGUUU
rnacentral:miRNA from 1 species